ACGGGGUGCAGCAGGCGCGAAACCUUUGCAAUGUGCGAAAGCACGACAAGGUUAAUCCGAGUGUCUCCCGCUAAGGGAGUCUUUUGUCAGUUCUAGAACCACUGGUGAAUAAGGGGUGGGCAAGUUCUGGUGUCAGCCGCCGCGGUAAAACCAGCACCUCGAGUGGUCAGGAGGUUUAUUGGGCCUAAAGCAUCCGUAGCCGGUUGCAUAAGUUUUCGGUUAAAUCUAUGCGCUUAACGUAUAGGCCGCCGAUAAUACUGUGCAGCUAGGGAGUGGGAGAGGUACACGGUGCUCGAUAGGAAGGGGUAAAAUCCUUUGAUCUAUUGAUGACCACCUGUGGCGAAGGCGGUGUACCAGAACACAUUCGACGGUGAGGGAUGAAAGCUGGGGGAGCAAACCGGAUUAGAUACCCGGGUAGUCCCAGCUGUAAACGAUGCAGACUCGGUGAUGCAUUGGCUUGUGGCCAAUGCAGUGCCGCAGGGAAGCCGUUAAGUCUGCCGCCUGGGAAGUACGUACGCAAGUAUGAAACUUAAGGAAUUGGCGGGGGAGCAC
rnacentral:rRNA from 2 species